rnacentral:rRNA from 1 species
UGCCAGCAGCCGCGGUAAUACAGAGGUCUCAAGCGUUGUUCGGAAUCACUGGGCGUAAAGCGUACGUAGGCGGCGAGGUAAGUCAGAUGUGAAAUCUCCGGGCUCAACCUGGAAACUGCAUCCGAUACUGCCUUGCUAGAGUAGUGGAGGGGCGACUGGAAUUCACGGUGUAGCAGUGAAAUGCGUAGAUAUCGUGAGGAACACUAGUGGCGAAGGCGAGUCGCUGGACACUUACUGACGCUGAGGUACGAAGGCCAGGGUAGCGAAGCGGAUUAGAUA